AUAAUACUCCAUAGAUUAGAGACACUGGAAUGUUCUUUAGUCAAAAGUUCCGGCGCCUUAGGAUGGAUCUGCGGUCGAUUAGGUUGUUGUUGGGGUAACGGCCCAACAAGCCUGUAAUCGAUACGGGUUGUGGGAGCAAUAGCCCGGAGAUGGAAUCUGAGACAAGAUUCCAGGCCCUACGGGGCGCAGCAGGCGCGAAAACUUUACAAUGCAGGAAACUGUGAUAAGGGAACUCCGAGUGCCCGUAUACGCGGGCUGUCCAGGUGUUUAGAAAUCAUCUGAAGAAAGGGCCGGGCAAGACCGGUGCCAGCCGCCGCGGUAAUACCGGCGGCUCGAGUGGUGGCCACUAUUAUUGGGCUUAAAGCGUCCGUAGCUGGACUGAUAAGUCUCUUGGGAAAUCCGCCGGCUCAACCGGCGGGCGUCUAAGGGAUACUGUUGGUCUAGGGACCGGGAGAGGUGAGAGGUACUCCGGGGGUAGGAGUGAAAUCCUGUAAUCCCCGGGGGACCACCGAUGGCGAAGGCAUCUCACCAGAACGGCUCCGACAGUGAGGGACGAAAGCUGGGGGAGCGAACCGGAUUAGAUACCCGGGUAGUCCCAGCCGUAAACUAUGCGCGUUAGGUGU
rnacentral:rRNA from 1 species